AUUGAACGCUGGCGGCAGGCCUAACACAUGCAAGUCGAGCGGAUGAAGGGAGCUUGCUCCUGGAUUCAGCGGCGGACGGGUGAGUAAUGCCUAGGAAUCUGCCUGGUAGUGGGGGAUAACGUCCGGAAACGGGCGCUAAUACCGCAUACGUCCUGAGGGAGAAAGUGGGGGAUCUUCGGACCUCACGCUAUCAGAUGAGCCUAGGUCGGAUUAGCUAGUUGGUGGGGUAAAGGCCUACCUAGGCGACGAUCCGUAACUGGUCUGAGAGGAUGAUCAGUCACACUGGAACUGAGACACGGUCCAGACUCCUACGGGAGGCAGCAGUGGGGAAUAUUGGACUAUGGGCGAAAGCCUGAUCCAGACCUGCCGCGUGUGUGAAGAAGGUCUUCGGAUUGUAAAGCACUUUAAGUUGGGAGGAAGGGCAGUAAGUUAAUCCCUUGCUGUUUUGCCGUUACCAACAGAAUAAGCACCGGCUAACUUCGUG
rnacentral:rRNA from 1 species